rnacentral:rRNA from 1 species
GACGGGGGCCCGCACAAGCAGUGAGUAUGUGGUUUAAUUCGAAGCAACGCGAAGAACCUUACCAGGGCUUGACAUCCCUUGAAGCAGCUAGAGAUAGCUGUGUCCUUCGGGACAAGGAGACAGGUGGUGCAUGGUUGUCGUCAGCUCGUGUCGUGAGAUGUUGGGUUAAGUCCCGCAACGAGCGCAACCCCUACGUUUAGUUGCUAACGCGUGAAGGCGAGCACUCUAGACGAACUGCCGUUGACAAAACGGAGGAAGGUGGGGAUGACGUCAAAUCAUCAUGCCCCUUAUGUUCUGGGCUACACACGUGCUACAAUGGCCGGUACAGACGGACGCAAAGCCGCGAGGUGGAGCAAAUCCUAAAAAGCCGGUCUCAGUUCGGAUUGCAGGCUGCAAUUCGCCUGCAUGAAGUCGGAAUCGCUAGUAAUCGCAGGUCAGCAUACUGCGGUGAAUACGUUCCCGGGCCUU